CCUACGGGUGGCAGCAGUGAGGAAUAUUGGUCAAUGGACGAAAGUCUGAACCAGCCAUGCCGCGUGCAGGAAGACGGCUCUAUGAGUUGUAAACUGCUUUUGUACGAGGGUAAACGCAGAUACGCGUAUCUGUCUGAAAGUAUCGUACGAAUAAGGAGCGGCUAACUCCAGGCCCGCAGCCGCGGUAAUACGGAGGAUUCAAGCGUUAUCCGGAUUUAUUGGGUUUAAAGGGUGCGUAGGCGGUCGGAUAAGUUAGAGGUGAAAUCCCGAGGCUCAACUUCGGAAUUGCCUAGGAUACUGUUCGGCUAGAGAGUAGUUGCGGUAGGCGGAAUGUAUGGUGUAGCGGUGAAAUGCGUAGAGAUCAUACAGAACACCGAUUGCGAAGGCAGCUUACCAGGCUACUUCUGACGUUGAGGCACGAAAGCGUGGGGAGCAAACAGGAUUAGAUACCCCUGUAGUC
rnacentral:rRNA from 1 species